rnacentral:rRNA from 1 species
AUUGAACGCUGGCGGCGGGCCUAACACAUGCAAGUCGAGCGGAGCGGCGGACGGGUGAGUAAUGCCUAGGAAUCUGCAUGGUAGUGGGGGAUAACGUCCGGUAACGGGCGCUAAUACCGCAUACUAUCAGAUGAGCCUAGGUCGGAUGAGCUAGUUGGUGGGGUAAAGGCCUACCAAGGCGACGACCCGUAACUGGUCCGAGAGGAGGAUCAGUCACACUGGAACUGAAACACGGUCCAGACUCCUACGGGAGGCAGCAGUGGGGAAUAUUGGACAAUAGGCACAAGCCGGAUCCAGCCAUGCCGCGUGUGUGAAGAAGGUCUUCGGAUUGUAAAGCACUUUAAGUUGGGAAGCGUUACUAGCAGAAGAAGCACCGGCUAACUUCGUGCCAGCAGCCGCGGUAAUAC